AGUGUUUAAUGGCAGGUUGAGUGGUGUAAACUGGCAGAAAAUGAGCUGUGAUAUUUCUACUUUAAGAUGAGAAUGAGAAACAACUUAUCUUGAUAAAAGCGUAGAAAUUGGUUUCUUCAGGAAGCCUUCCCUGCUUCUCUAGUUUGAGAUGCUUCCUGCCCUUUAACAUCGGACUCCGAGUUCUUCAGCUUUUGGAUUCUGGAUCUAUACCAAUGGUUUGCCAGGGUCUCUUGGACCUUUGGCCACACACUGAAGGCUGCACUAUUGGCUUCCCUACUUUUGAGGUUUUGGGACUCAGACUGGCUUCCUUGUUCUCCUCAGCUUGUAGAUGGCCUAUUGUGUGACUUCACCUUGUGAUCAUAGCUUACAAAAAGCUUGAUUGAAAAGAGAAGAGAAUGGAACACGGUAUGAUGACAACAAAGAGAAAAGGAGCCAAGAUUAGUCUGGACAGUAUGCAGACAUUGACUCUGCUUUGAGGACAGAGCUGGAAUUAAUUUCACGUGCACCACAUAAGAGGAUUGCAUCCAACAUCACUCUUCCUGUAUUCUUUGGAGGAGCUUCCGCCUAUUGCCUCUGCCCUCCCUGCACCGUGGGACACAUGAAGUAGUCUUAGUUCCAGCAGAUGGUAACAUCAGCUUCCUGGCCAACCUGGCAUUUCCCCAGGGAAGAAGGGAAGACGGAAUAAGGUUAUUAAUAUAUUCAAGUGAUAAUUUUUUUUUAAAUUUUCUUAAAGUCUCAUUUGACCUUAGUGCCUAUAAAUAAAUUUAUGUUGUUUUUUCAUGGCAUGGUAUGUCCAUUUUGGGAACUAAGCAACAAGUUAUCUUUUCGACGUCAGUCAUCCCUUGAUCUGUUGGCCUCACCAGACUUGAAUAAUAAUAAAAUCUGUAUUUUAAAACAGAAA
ensembl:lncRNA novel transcript